UCUUCAUUUUAAGUCUUGCUCUUAGCAUUUGAAACUAUCAAUAGUUAGCUCUAGUGAUUUAUACCUUCUUGUCAAUAACAUAGGUGGAGGUAACUAUCAAUAGUUUGCAAUCUCAUUUUGCAAUAACAUAGGUGGAGGUAACUAUCAAUAGUUUGCAAUCUCAUUUUGUAAUUGGUCCAUAUCAUCAUAUUGUAAUUGGUCCAUAUCAUCAUGUUGUUUGCAAAAUUGCUUAUGCACAAAUGAAUCCAUAGAUAUGAUAAGUGAGCCUUCCUCUUGUCCUUAAUCAGGGUACUUCAGAGCUUUUUGAAUAUUGAAUGUGAUGUGCUAGUCGUUAACCAUCAGGUGCGGCAAUAUUAUUCUUCAUCAAAUUAGUCAAUGUUGCCGUUUGUGCUACAGCUUUUGUGUUUUCACCAACUUCAUGAACUCCAGCCACAGUUCUUUGUUCAUUAACCUUAGCAGUAGGCCACUGAUAGCUAUUUGCUGAUAUGCUCUCAAUGAACUCAGUGCUUCCUCUCACUGAAGAGUAGAUGGAGCCGCCCCUAUGAGAAAUGUUAUCUGUAGGAGGAGAGGGCUAUCAACGAGAAGUAAGCUCCCUAAUUGAUACGUGAUGAUGCAUUGCGGAAUUGAGAGGAAAGGGUUAUCUGUUAGAUGGAGCCACCCCUAAGGGAAAGGCCACCCUUAGAAGGAAAGGGCUAUCAAUGAGAUGAAGCCGCCUCUUAGUUCUAAAAAUAUUGUAUUUUUACUUAUUUGAUUUUUAUGAUGAUUUUAAGAUUGUUCAUUUGGAUUUCGCUUCGUUUUUAACUGAAUUCUUAAAAUUUCUAUAUGAAUAGUUAAAUUAUAAGUUUUACAA